AUGUUAUAUUCAUGCCCCAAUCAUGAGCUCUCAAAAGAAAUGAUUAUUCAAAAAAAUUAUGCUCGGCUCUCUCUCAGUAAUCGCUCCAUGCUCAAUACUUCUUAUACUGGUUCUUUUAUGAUGAAGACUAUUGAAUUCAAAUGGGAUUUAUUGGAAAGAAUUAAUCGCAACUCUGAAGAUUGGGACCUCGACGAAUGUAAGGAAUCAAGUAUAACACCUAAGUUUGAUUGUGUUAAAUCUUUUAUGGAUACCGAUGCUUUCCAUGAAUUUAGCACUAAAUAUGGACUUGACUUUGAGAUAGUAGCUUCUUUCUGUGAAUCCUUUGCUACUCAUGUUGAUCUCCCUAAGGAGAAGUGUUUUAAAUAUAAUCCUCCCAUUGAAGUAAAAGUAGUUGCACCUAUUAAAGUUGAAGAAAAGACUAUCACUUAUAAUGAUUCUGUUGUUCCCACUGCUUAUAUUGAGAAACCACCUUUCCCUGUUAGAAUAAAGGAUCAUGCUAAAGCUUCAACUAUGGUUCGUAAGAGUAACACUAGAACACCUACUCCCUCUGAGAAAAUUAAAGUUGAACCUAGUGUUGCUAUGGUUAAAGAUCUCUUGACCGAUAAUAUUGAUGGGCAUGUUAUUUACUUCUGUGAUGAAUCUGCUAGAAUUGCUAGACCCGAUACUAAAAAUAAACAUAGACAUGUUGUAGGCAUGCAUGUUAUUUCUGUUAAAAUAGGAGAUCAUUGCUAUCAUGGCUUAUGUGAUAUGGGUGCUAGUGCAAGUGCAAUACCUCAUUCUCUAUAUAAAGUAAUUAUGCAUGAUAUUGCACCUGCUGAGAUAGAAGAGAUUGAUGUUACAAUUAAGCUUGCCAAUAGAGAUACUAUUUCACCAGUUGGGAUUGUUAGAGAUGUUGAAGUCUUGUGUGGGAAAGUUAAAUAUCCUGCUGAUUUUCUUGUUGUUGGUUCCCCACAAGAUAACUUUUGUCCCAUUAUAUUUGGUAUACCUAAACUAAACCAAGCUUAA
rnacentral:rRNA from 1 species